CCUACGGGAGGCAGCAGUGGGGAAUUUUGGACAAUGGGCGCAAGCCUGAUCCAGCAAUGCCGCGUGAGUGAAGAAGGCCUUCGGGUUGUAAAGCUCUUUUGUCAGGGAAGAAACGGUGGGGGCUAAUAUCCUCCACUAAUGACGGUACCUGAAGAAUAAGCACCGGCUAACUACGUGCCAGCAGCCGCGGUAAUACGUAGGGUGCAAGCGUUAAUCGGAAUUACUGGGCGUAAAGCGUGCGCAGGCGGUUUUGUAAGUUUGUCGUGAAAUCCCCGGGCUCAACCUGGGAAUGGCGAUGAAGACUGCAAGGCUAGAAUCUGGCAGAGGGGGGUUAGAAUUCCACGUGUAGCAGUGAAAUGCGUAGAGAUGUGGAGGAACACCGAUGGCGAAGGCAGCCCCCUGGGUCAAGAUUGACGCUCAUGCACGAAAGCGUGGGGAGCAAACAGGAUUAGACUACCCGUGGUACGUCCGUACCGACCCGUAACCGUACGUAGUACUACUACGUUAGUUACGGGUUUUAACGUUUAACGUUUAGGUUAACGUACGACGACUACGUACGUGUAGUAGACCGCCGUCGGGAGGUACGGUCGGCGAGUAAGUUAAACGUACUUAAGUUAGUAAGUUAGUUACGGUCGUUGAGACGUGCGACGGACGACGACGAGGGAGGAGG
rnacentral:rRNA from 1 species